rnacentral:lncRNA from 1 species
CCAAAUUAGUUCGAGGAUUCGUUCGGGGAAUUGACUAAAUUUCGACAAACUAGGAUCCUUCGAGAGUAUCACACCGAAUUUGAGAGGCUUCUUGUUUACGUGGGACAGAUACCCCUACGCCAACAAGUUAGUUGCUUCAUAAGUGGGAUGCGAUCUGAGAUUUGGAUUGAUGUGCAGGUCUGCUUGCUGGAGACAUUUACGACUGUCGUCGGCCUAGCUUGGUUGUAUGAGCGAAAAUCCUGAAAUUGCCACAGCUCCCAGACUGGAGACCACCUGCCAGAGCUGAUGCCUUGUCUCUCCAAUGGGAAAUCGCAUCUAUUUCAACUUCGAUGGCUACAUGGAUGGACAUGAUAAAAGAGGAAGUUGAGCUCACUGCACCAAUGCACGCAUUACGAGAUAAUUGCUUGGAUGGGAAGCUCUAGGCUGAAUGGAUAGUGAAGCAUGGGGUCUUGUACAAACGUGACUGUAUUUUCCUUCUUCCCAAUUCAACACUGGUACCUAUGAUCCUACAACAGAUGUGUGGUUAACUUAUGAAGGGGUUCACAAGACCGCUCACCAUAUUUUACAGGCAUAAUAUGCACAAUGACAUUAAAAUAUUUAACCAAAGUGCCUCGUUUGCCAACAGAACAAAGCUGAGAAUUUGAAACCGAUAGGGCUUCUCGACCCGCUCUCAAUCCCAAUGGAAAUUUGGUGCUGACAUCUCAAUGGAUUUUUUCAAAGGGCUGACAAAAUCCCAAGGCAAGAACGUCGUUCUAGUAGUCGUCGAUCGCCUCUUGAAGAUGGCGCAUUCGUCCCCGUAACACAUCCCUACACGGUGUCUCGGCCGCUAGGACCCUGUGAACGAAUUUUCUUAAACUUUACGGCAGGCCAUCAACCAUCGUUUGUGAUUGGGAUCCAACUUUCACCAGCCUUUUUUGACCGAUCUUUUCCGCCUCUAAGGGACGAGCUUCAAUUUCAGUUCGGCACAUCAUCCCCAAACGGAUGGACAGACAGAAGCAAUCAAUAAGGAGCUUGCAAUAUACUUGUGUUGUUUCUCGGGUGAUCGAACCAAGGAAUGGACGAAGUGGCUACCAUGGGUGGAAUUCUUCUACAACACCAGCGUCCACUCCAUGACUCGUCAGACCCCUUUUAAAGCUAUCUACGGUAAUAAGCCGCCCAAUAUCCUCGCCUACGUUUCGGGAACUUCACGGGUACCAGCUGUGGACGAGGAUUUGGUUGAACAAGAGGAGUUUAUUAGGGACAUUCGACAACAUUAAGUUGUCUCAGGAACAAAUGGCCAGUUUCUAUAAUCAAGGUCGGGUAGACCAAUAAUUUCUGGUGGGCGAUUAGGUCUACAUCAAAUUACAACCUUACCGACAGAAGACCUUGUGUAGCACCUCCACCUACAAGCCGUCCCCAUGAUUUUAUGGUCCAUAUCAAGUGCUCAGCAACAUCGAGAAGUUAGCGUACGAGUUCCACAUGCCGCCAAAAGCCACGGUGCACCAUGUUUUCCACGUCUCAAAGCUCCAACUUGCUAGUGGAGAUAUCACAGGGAUGCGCCCAACCCCUCCUCUGGUAGCUGAUCAGGUUGUUGAGGCCGAGCCGCUUGCCGUACUCGCCACCCCUACUCAGCAUGGCAAGAGGGAAGUCCUUAUUCAAUGGAGCCAUACCUCACCUACGGACGUGACAUGGGAGGAUCACCAGAGGCUUGUUCAUUAAUUUCACCACAUUCCUGUGGACAAGAAUGUUUUGUAGGAGGGAGGCAUGUUACGUGGAGAUCCACGUCUGAGCCACAACUUAUCAUUUAACUUGUUAUCCUUGUUAUUGUUUAUUCAAGAUUUUUAUAUUCCUCUUGAUGUAAUUCAUUGAAGUCAUCAAUAAUAAACCUAUUUCCUUUCAUAAUCGCAACAGGUGUUUGGCUGCCAUACAUGGUUUCGGGGAAUCACUAUCCCUCGUUUAGCUUUUAUCGUCCUUCACCAUUACUCGAUUCUUAGAUUUACGCAACGUGACCUCCUCAACC